rnacentral:pre_miRNA from 1 species
AGCUUUCUGUAUUCGUGCUGAGAUUUCGCCACACAUCAGACCACAAGGGCUGAUGGGACUCCCUAGAUAAAUAAAGCG